GACGAACGCUGGCGGCGUGCCUAAUACAUGCAAGUUGAGCGCUGAAGGUUGGUACUUGUACCAACUGGAUGAGCAGCGAACGGGUGAGUAACGCGUGGGGAAUCUGCCUUUGAGCGGGGGACAACAUUUGGAAACGAAUGCUAAUACCGCAUAAAAACUUUAAACACAAGUUUUAAGUUUGAAAGAUGCAAUUGCAUCACUCAAAGAUGAUCCCGCGUUGUAUUAGCUAGUUGGUGAGGUAAAGGCUCACCAAGGCGAUGAUACAUAGCCGACCUGAGAGGGUGAUCGGCCACAUUGGGACUGAGACACGGCCCAAACUCCUACGGGAGGCAGCAGUAGGGAAUCUUCGGCAAUGGACGAAAGUCUGACCGAGCAACGCCGCGUGAGUGAAGAAGGUUUUCGGAUCGUAAAAAUCUGUUGGUAGAGAAGAACGUUGGUGAGAGUGGAAAGCCCAUCAAGUGACGGUAACUACCCAGAAAGGGACGGCUAACUACGUG
rnacentral:rRNA from 1 species